AUUUUUCACCACAAUAAAGUUAAUAAAUGACAUUGAAUUUGUUCCAAUGGAGGCCUGUAUGAAAAAUGUGCCAACAUUUAAAGGAAACCUAGCAAAAGAACAACCUUAAAUAAGAUUUAGUAAUUAGGGAACUUAAGCUAUUAGAAGAUAUUUGGCGACGGGUUGUUCUUUUAAGUCUCUCUCCUAUUAUUUUCUAAGGGGACACACUACAAUUCGCCGUCAUUCAAACUUGCAAAGCUAUUUGGAAAACAUUGCAACCAGAAUUCAUGCCAACCUCAUCAGAAGAACUAUGGCUAAAAGCUGCCAACCGUUACUGGGAAUUGUAGAAUUUACCUAACUGCGUAAGUAGUGUUGUUGGAAAGCACAUCAGAGAUAAAUCACCGGCGAAGUCAGGCUCAGCGUAUUUUAAUUACAAUGGUUAUUUUUCAAUCGUGUUAUUAGUGGUUGCAGAUGCCGACGGACUGUUCCUUUCGGUCGAUAUUGGCGAAUAUGGACGAAACAGUGAUGGCAGGGCACUAAAAGAAAGCGUAUUCGGAAAAGCACUAGCAAAUAGUCAGCUUAAUCUUCCAGAACCUUCCAGAACCUAUGUUGCCUGGGAAUUAUGAAGAUAUAAAAUUUUCUUACUAUUUUGCGGCAGAUGAAGCCUUCCCUCUAACAAAUCAUAUAAUGAAACCAUAUCCUCGAAGACGAAUAUUUAAUUAUAGGCUCUCUAGAGGACGUCUAUCGAAUGCUUCUUUGGUAUAUUGAACACUAAAUUUAGAGUACUUGAUACGCCCAUUUGCUGCGAAGUAGAUAAAAUUGAUAACAUGAUUUAAGCUGCCUGUAUACUACACAAUUUUGUAAGCAUUGAUGAUGGAGUUUUUACACGCCCUGCAUCGUCUAUGCAAAGUGAGAACACGACUAUAGUAACUGCACUCCGAGGACUACACCAGAGACCUACUAAUACCGCUCUUGAAUUGAAAAACAAACGUUGCGAUUUUUUCAUGAGUCUGCAUGGGGCCUUGUCUUGGCAAAUAGAUCAUUGUAUUUAGUUUCGUUUUUAUCCCAAAAAUCAAUAAAUAAAAUAAAUUUGUCAUAAAAUAUACAAUAUUUUUAAUAACCAUGUAAAAUAAUUUUUGGACGUAUAGCCUUUUGAAAUAAUAAAAAUUCACUUACCAGA